rnacentral:rRNA from 1 species
GUGGGGAAUAUUGGGCAAUGGGGGAAACCCUGACCCAGCGACGCCGCGUGAGGGAAGAAGGUUUUCGGAUUGUAAACCUCUGUCUUUGGGGACGAAACGAAUGACGGUACCCAAGGAGGAAGCCACGGCUAACUACGUGCCAGCAGCCGCGGUAAUACGUAGGUGGCAAGCGUUGUCCGGAAUUACUGGGUGUAAAGGGAGCGUAGGCGGGAUGCUAAGCAAAUUGUGAAACCAAUCGGCUCAACCGGUUGUUGCGAUUUGAACUGGCGUCCUUGAGUGGAGUAGAGGCAGGCGGAAUUCCCAGUGUAGCGGUGAAAUGCGUAGAUAUUGGGAGGAACACCAGUGGCGAAGGCGGCCUGCUGGGCUCUAACUGACGCUGAAGCUCGAAAGUGUGGGUAGCAAACAGGA